AUCUAUGGAGCUAAUGAUGUCAAGGUUAUGUUUCUAUGGCUAGUGGUUAAUGAGCAGGUCGUCAUGUGUCCAGCACAAUGACUAACCACCUUAAUUUUCCCCACCUAAAAUCAGUUACCCAUUAGAGUUGGGUUACUGAGGGGCACCCUAAAAAUUCAAAAUCCCAAUCUUCAUUGAGGCUGGAGGUUCAAACCCAGGACCCCAUUGUUUUCCUAUGAGGUACACAAAUCCUUUAGCCGACAAAAAAUCAAAAUAUUGAUAUAGAAACGAAAUGAAAAAUGACUGAGCUUUUGGCCCAUGACUUUGAAAUGAUAAUAUCUAUGUAUACUUCUUUAUGUUGGCAGAGGAUCAACAUGAUUUGUUCAUUGAAAGACACUUGAAGGUGUAAGUUGUAAAAGGUUUUGAAAGACUUGCCAAAGCAAGGCAUUCUUGACAGGAAUAAACAUUGGGAGCAGCUCUAGCUGACUCAGCUCAGAGGAUGACAUCACAGUUAAUUGACAUCUUUCUGUUAACAAUGCAUGGAUUAUCUUAUCUUCUUCAUUCUAGGGGAAUUAUGCAUUGAGUGAAGACAUCUUGCUGUAGAAGAGAAGAACAAUUCAGAUAGUUCACAUGAUUUACAAUAUGGCUUUGAUUGUCUUAUGUUAAUGGCUGGUAAAGAACUGAAACAUGUAAGCUGAAGAUCACUUGAUAGAAAUCAAGAAAUCUCUGAUCUACAUUGUAUGAGAAAAUCAUGAAGUGGUUGUUGUCAUUGAUCCAGAAACUAAGUUGCAAUCUGUCUUGAUAAAUAUAUCAUACAGAUUUAAUGGUGGCCUACUCAACCCGAGGCAGCUUAAAGCAAAAACAAAAACAAACGCAGCUAUUUGCUGACGACUGUGCCCUAAAUGCCUGCUCUGAAAACGAUCUGCAGAGCAUCGUCAGUGACUUCUCAAGAGCAUGCUCAGACUUUGGCCUUACCAUCAAUACGAACAAGACUGAAGUCUUAUAUCUACCUGCUCCUGGGAAAGCCUACUUGGAUCCAAGCAUCACUAUAAAUGGACAGGAUAUAAACGCAGUGGACAAAUUCACAUAUCUUGGCAGCACACUCUCCAGAAAUGGAAAAAUCGAUAGUGAAAUUGACCUGUGUAUCGCCAAGGCCAGUGCAUCCUACGGCAGAUUGUCUACAAAUGUCUGGAACAGACGUGGUAUCUCCACAAACACCAAGCUAGGGGUCUAUAGAGCCGUCAUCCUCCCUACAUUGCUAUAUGCCUCAGAAACAUGGACAGUGUACAGUAAACAUGCAAAGAAACUAAACCACUUCCACAUGACAUGUCUGAGAAAAAUACUAAAUGUCAAUUGGCAAGACAAAAUACCAGAGUGUGUCUGCAAAGCAUCCACACAAUCCUGAUGCAGUCCCAGCUGCGAUGGGCAGGUCACGUCUACAGAAUGGAAGACCACCGCAUCCCUAAACGACUCCUGUAUGGCCAACUAAGCGAAGGAAAGCGCUCGCAAGGUGGUCAAAGAAAGCGCUUCAGGGACACCCUCAAUGCUUCUCUGAAGGCGUUCAGCAUAGACCUAGGCACGUGGGAGACAGAGGCACAUGACAGAGCAUCAUGGCGUCGCACUGUGAAAACUGGCGCACAGGUUGCUGGGGAAAAAAGAACAAUGCUGGCAGAAGAAAAACGCCAGAAAAGAAAAGCAAGGCCCACGACACUAGCUCCAGCUGGAAUAACCUGCCCAGUGUGCGGCCGAACAUUCCGGGCUCACAUAGGUCUCACCAGCCACAUGAGGAGGCAUAAAACCCCAGUGCAAAGCCCUCAGCCCCCUGGAUGACAAAGUGGUCAUCAUCGAACCAUGAUGGACGAACUAUAAGUUGCAAUCUGUCUUGUGAACGAAUUGUGUGUCCCCUUACCUGUCAAUUCUGUUUAGUGAUGGUCAAGCUCAACUGAUAUUAUUCUAAGCAGCUUUUAUUCUGAGAAUCAUUCAACCACAGAAGCUGUGAGGGAUAUCUGAAAUCCAUUGCUUACUUGUCUAGCAGAAAGAUUUCUAUCCGUUUAGUGAUAAAAGAUUGAGAUUAAUUGUAUACAACUUUUUGUAGUCGCCAAAUAACACACUUUUAUGCUCAAGCAAUACUGUUCAUGAAUGGUUUAGUUUUCUUGAUGCUGAGAGUGUUCAUGAAAGAGGGAUCAAAGGUCAAUUUGGGUGUUUGUUUUUUAAGACAACUUGCUAUGUUUAUUAAUUUAAAUUUACCAGGUACCUAUUAUUCAUUUACUUUGGAUUUUAGAAUAUUUGUCAUUGAAAUUUAAAUAGGUAUAAGUACAGUUAAUUAACCACAGGAUUCCAUUAAAAAAUUUAAAUGCUAAAGAAAUUUAAAAAGAAAACAUUUCAUUUUUGAGAUUACAUCAUCUUUAUGUGGAAUGUUUUUUGAAUAAAUGGUACCUGUACAGGUGAUUAGACCUAUUAAUAAAUGAUAACUGGAUAUAUUUGUAUUUGAAACCACUGGCUUGUAUUUUACUUGUUACUAAUAACUUAAUUUACUUUUUAAUAUAUGCAUUAUCUUCUAUUUUGAAGUAACAUCUGUAUUAUAUAAGAUAAGAUUAUCAACUGUAGUUUUCUUUUAAGAGUUCUUUAUGAAAAUGUUGCCACUGAACACUGCUAUAUUACUAGACUUUUUUCAACUAUGUUUUGUAAAUGAAAUAUUGUACAAUGGCAUAUUUAUUGUAUUACAUAAUUAAGGUUUUUAUAGCUAUAUAUUAAAAACAUCUCAUAUUUAAUGUACUCUCUGCACUGAACAAUUUUUUUUAAAGUGAUAAAAAUUUUGGUUUAUUCAUAUCAAGUUUGUUUUGUUUGUAUAUAUGUAGAAUAUGUAUAUCAUAGUGAAAGCAUUUAUUUACUUGCAUUUUAGUUUUUAUAAUCAUUUAUAGAAUUCAGUGUAAAUUCAUUGUACAUUGAACCUCGUUGGUAGUGACAAUGUUAUUAAGUUGACAUGAAGUAUUUAUGUAUAGUCCUGGGUGUUAACUACAUUGUUCAUUGGAUGACUGCCUGACAGUGUUUUAUCCCAUGGGAACCAAUAGAUCAGCAUGUCAAUAUAUCUGUUGUAGUAAUGUUUAGAGUAUACAACUCUAGCAAUAAAUAUUCUGAUCAAGUUUAUAUUUUUGGAACAGAAUAUGCUAAUGUGUUAAAUAAAUUUUUUUUUAUUUUAAGAAUAACAUAUGUCUAAGUAGUAUAACUUCUAAUUUAAUUUCUCCCUUUUAAAAUCAACCAUCUAAAUUAGGGAUGGCAACCUUUUUCUGUUGAGGGCCGCAUUAAAUUUUUUUUUUUAGGAAUAGGGGGCCACAUAUAUAUAAUUUGUAUUUACAACUUAGAAAAAUAUGCUAGCUGUCUAUUAAUUUACUUGUAUACUGUAUUAGACAUUCAAAUUGAGGAAUUAUAACAAGAUUUAGCAAUUUUUGAAACUAAUUUAACUAAUAUUUUUAAAAAAUUUGUUACUGUCUUUUUACAUCACAUUCAUUCUUCACAACAAUCCAGUUAUACUUAAUGUGAAGUAUUUAAUUGUGCAUAAUGUUCCGGAACUCUGGAACUAGCUUUACUAGUUCUUAUCUUUGUGACUGCUGUUAAAUUACAGCCAGUCAGCAUCCACUUGUUCUUCUGGUUGCAUAUGUUCAAACAAAAGAAAAUAUUCUUGUGCAUCCAAAAAUGUCAAAGUUUAGCAUCAAGUCUUUUUAAGUGUGGAAAUACAGCUUAUGCACCCUUCAAACUGCUUCUCUUUUGGGUCAUAAUUUGCUAGGAAGUAUUUCCUCAGGAGCUGAAUCAGCUUCUGUACUAAAUGGUGAAGUGAGGAUAUUCAAAAAUGGUUUAAGUUCUUGACGUCUUAACAUUUGUUUUCAAAUUCCAUAAGUCUUGUUCUUUUCUUUUUACUAGAAAUAGUUUCGCCUUUCAGCAAAGGAAAAUGUGUCACAGUCUUAGUUGACAUUGCAUGAUCUAAAGUUCAUGUCAUGUUAAGAGUUUAAAAGACACGUGGAAUUCCUGAUGUAGAAAACAGGAAGUAGAAUGAAUAAAGUUGACUUUGAGUUCAGUCAAGUCAAGUCAGUAAGGUUUUGCUCCCGGUCCAGGAAGGUUGGACGUUGCUUCCUUGACUGGUCUAUAUAUAUAUGUAUAUAGCAUGAAAGUCGAUGGACUAAUGAUUGUUGAUUAAUUAUAUUUGAGAGUUGAUUUCAUCAUGUGCUUAUUGAAUAUUAAAGUAUUAUUCGUAUUGCAAUGGAUAUCUAUAGUUGGAGCUCCAGUGUCACUAGUAGCAAUUGUUCUUAUUGUUACCCGCUGAGAUGCGGACGUGAUUUGUAACUAACAUAUAUUGCAUACUUUUGAUACCGCUGUUAUGUGGAUAGGAUUGUUAUUAUUUCUUGACUUGUAGCACUAACAAGGAGUGCAGUGUACUAUUAUUAUUAUUAUGGUAAAAUAAACUUCAUGUCUGCUGAAACGGACUUGAGUCAGUGGUAUAGUAUGUUUAACAUUUACAAAAUGAUAAAACCUGUUUUCACUUGCUUGACUGGAGAAAUGGAAAAGCUUGAAAAGAUGCUCAUAAAUUUCAUGAUGUGCAAGUAGCCCAUUGCAACUCUUCAUUAGAAACAUUAGUAAGAAAGCCACUGUCAGUGUCAUUAAGGAAAAAAAAAAUUUUCCUUGAGACCCCAUAUUCUUUUCAAUACCUUGCCCAUGUGGUACUUCUUGAAACUGUCUGUGGCUCUGAUAAGUUUGAUCACUGAGAUGAUUAGGUCAAUAAUAUGUCUGAUAUUCACUAUUUUUCUCAGUCAAAGCAUGGGCUCCAUCAGUUGUUACACUUGACAUCUUGUUCCAAGCCAACCCAACACUUUCAACACAGUUCUACAUAAAUACUGGUCUGAGUGUGUGUCUUGUUUCGAAAUAUUACCAAUAAGCAUAAUUUUCAUUUGCUUAAAACUUUAGAGAAUGUUUAUUUAGCUGCUUCAUCAUAAUUGAUUGAUUUGAUUUUAGGCACAUCAGCACAAUUUAGGCCAUUUAAGUAUCAUAAUUGAUAUGAUAUUUAAAAUUAUUUAUUUUUAAUAUAUUUGCAUUUUUAUAUGUUUAAUCUGUGGGCUCACCUGAAUUCUGUAGGUUUCCGCGGGCCGCAAAAAACACUUUGGCAGGCAGCAUGUGGCCCGUGGUCUGUAAUUUGCCCACCCCUGAUCUAAAUGAAUUAAGUUAUUUCUACUACUAAAAGUAAUAUCAGGACUACCAAUGUACCUUAGUUUUUAACUAAAUAUUUAUUUGUGCAGCACUUUCAGUUUUAUUGUGAUAUUGUAUACAUUGAUUUGAUUAACUCAUUUUGAUGUAUAUGUAUACCUUACAAUCAAAGUGACAUUCAUUUUUUUUUUAAAUUGUAACUGGUCUGUGCUAAAUUACUGAAUUCAUAUUAAGAGAUAACUAUUAAUGUAUUUGAAAGUUAAUGGUAAAGGGAAAAUAGGUCAUUGUGCUGGUCUCAAUACACCUUGAAAUGUACAGUAAUUACUUCAAUGAACAAGAAGAAAUUAAUCAGCAAUGAAAUUACCAAAAAAGAUAUGACAGGAAAUGCUAUUAACAUUAGUCAGUGAUUACCCUCUACAAAGUCAUAGUCAACUAAUCUAAUUGACUUCAAUAUUCAAUCAUUAUCAAAAAUAAACCAUUCCAAAGACAAAGUGAAUGAUAGACAAAAAAUAGAAGCUUUUUGAUGUAGGGCAAAAUGUUAAAAUAUUCAAGUUAAAAUAAAUUUCCUUUUUCAGACUUUGCCAUCUGUAAGACAGAUGAUACAAAAAAUCAUCUGUUUCUGGGUCUUAUGGUCAAUGAGGGUAUCAGGUGGCCACCACAAUGACCAACCGCCUUUACUUUUCUCCAUUAAAUGUCAGGAACCCAUUUGAGCUGGGUGGACUGAAAGGUGCCUAAUUGUUUUUCUUUAUAUUAGGACUAUUAUAAAAAAAAUGGUCUUCAAACCCUAGACCUAUGUUUGGCAGCCAAGCACUUUACCGCUUAGCCACCACACCUCCAAGUGAAUUCUAUAGAAACUUUUAACUGUUUGCUCAUCUUUCAUUCUACAACUAAAGCAAGGUAAUUAUGUAUUGUUAGGGACAAUGCUGUCUGGAAUGAGAGAAUAUGUUAGCCUGGCGGGG